GACGAACGCUGGCGGCGUGCUUAACACAUGCAAGUCGAACGGAAAGGCCCCUUUGGGGGUACUCGAGUGGCGCACGGGUGAGUAACACGUGAGUAACCUGCCCUUGACUUCGGGAUAACUUCAGGAAACUGGGGCUAAUACCGGAUAGGAAUCCUUGCUGCAUGGUGUGGGUUGGAAAGCUUCGGCGGUUUUGGAUGGACUCGCGGCUUAUCAGCUUGUUGGUGGGGUAGUGGCUUACCAAGGCUUUGACGGGUAGCCGGCCUGAGAGGGCGACCGGCCACAUUGGGACUGAGAUACGGCCCAGACUCCUACGGGAGGCAGCAGGGGGGAAUAUUGCACAAUGGGCGGAAGCCGGAUGCAGCAACGCCGCGUGCGGGAUGACGGCCUUCGGGUUGUAAACCGCUUUCAGCAGGGGCGAAGCUUGUGGUGACGGUACCUGCAGAAGAAGCACCGGCUAACUACGUG
rnacentral:rRNA from 1 species